rnacentral:rRNA from 1 species
GAUGAACGCUGACAGAAUGCUUAACACAUGCAAGUCAACUGUGGCGGACGGGUGAGUAACGCGUAAAGAACUUGCCUCACGGAUAGGGACAACAUUUGGAAACGAAUGCUAAUACCUGAUACUGUGAGAGAGCUUUGCGUCCCAUUAGCUAGUUGGAGAGGUAACGGCUCACCAAGGCGAUGAUGGGUAGCCGGCCUGGGAGGGUGAUCGGCCACAAGGUGACUGGGACACGGGCCGUACUCCUACGGGAGGAAGCGGUGGGGAAUAUUCGACAAUGGACCAAAGUCUGAUGCAGGUAUUCUGAGUGUACGAUGAAGUUUUCGGGAUGUAAAGGGAUGUCAGUUGGGAAGCGGUACCAACAGAAGAAGUGACGGCUAAAUACGUGCCAGCCGCCGCGGUAAUAC